GUAUUCAUUCAAAGAAGAGAUAAUUUGUCAUCUCCUUUGAUAGGGAUGGGAGUAGCCUUCUUAGGCUUGUUACCACACACAUCAUAUCCCAACUCCCACCUUCGCCAACAUUCU
rnacentral:ncRNA from 1 species